rnacentral:rRNA from 1 species
GAUGAACGCUGGCGGCGUGCCUAACACAUGCAAGUCGAGCGAACGGACGAGAAGUUGUCGUCUCUGAUGUCAUCGCCGGACGGGAGAGUAACAUGUGGAUAACCUACCUCUACGACUGGGAUGAUUUCGGCAAACCGUAUCUUAUACCGGAUAAUAUUUCGAAUCUCAUGGUUCAAAAGUUAAAUACGGUCUUGCGUUCACUUAUAGCUGGACCAGGGCUGCAUUAGAUAGUUGGUAAGGUAAGGGCUUACCAAGGCAACGAUGGAUAGCCGACCUGAGAGGGUGCUCGGCCACACUGGAACUGAGACACGGUCAAGACUCCUACGGCAGGCAGCCGUCGGGAAUCUUCCGGGAUGGGCGAAAGGCUGAAGGAGCAACGCCGCGUGAAUGAUGAAGCUCUUCGGACCGUAGAACUCUGUUAGUCGGUAGGAACGUAAGUGUAAUUAACUGUGCACAUCUUGACGGUACCUAAUCAGAAAGCCCCGGCUAACUCCGUG